rnacentral:rRNA from 1 species
AACGAACGCUGGCGGCAUGCCUAACACAUGCAAGUCGAACGAGACCUUCGGGACAAGUGGCGCACGGGGGCGGAACGCGUGGGAAGCUGCCGGUAGGCUCGGAAUAACACUCCGAAAGGGGGGCUAAUACCGGAAAACGUCUUCGGACAAAAGAUUCGUCGCCUUUGGAUGAGCAGGAGAUGUAUGAGCUAGUUGGUAGGGUAAAAGCCGACGAAGGCGUCGAUCCAUAGCGGGGCUCAGAGGAUGAUCCGCCACACUGGGACUGGGACACGGCCCAGACUCCUACGCGAGGCAGCAGUGGGGAAUAUUGCACAAUCGGCGGAAGCCUGAUCCAGCACUGCCGCGUGAGUGAUGAAGGUCUUAGGGUUGUAAAGCUCUUUUACCCGGGAUGAUACUGACAGUACCGGGAGAAUAAGCUCCGGCUAACUCCGUG